UCUGCUGCUCUCUGACUUCUACAACAUGGACAGCAUCAUCAUCAUCAUCAUCAAACAUGGCCUCCUCAGCUUUUCAGCAUUACUGCUCUGGAUUACAGGUCUGACUGAUGGCAGUGAUGUCACCCAGACCCCCAAACUGUGGAAAUACAACGGUGACAAUGCAACUAUAGACUGCAAUCACACCAAGGGUGGUGGCUUCUACCAGAUGUACUGGUACAGACAACUCCCAGGGGAAGGAAUGAAACAAAUUGUUUUCACCAGUACUGCAUCCAAACCCAACUAUCAGCCCGACUUCAAAGAGGAGAAAUUCCCAGUGACCAAGCCUGAUGCUGCCAGUGGGACUUUGACAGUGAAGGAUUUGGUAGCAGAAGAUAAAGGCUUGUAUUUCUGUGCUGUCACACACUAA